AAUUAUCGUUCCUGAAUAGGUGGCGCCGUGGUAGCGGAUCCUGUUCCUCUUCUUCCGGUUUCUGCACUGUGCAACUAUUUCAGUUAUAUUUUUAAUUAACGAUGCCAAGUACUUGUUGUUGUGUACCUGGAUGUCAUUUAAGAGGAGGACAUGCAUUUCCAAAUGACUUAAAAAGAAGGAAAAGUUGGAUCAACGCCAUGGCCCAUACGCAGAUUGGACGAGAACACGAUGAUAUCGUGGAGUCCAUCUCAAUCAGCAGCUGUUGUUUGCAAGGCACGUUUUACUGAAAAAGACUACGUGCAGGAAACUAUUCAUGGGCGCAAACCCACCAUACAGAGACUUAAGUCUACUGCAAUUCCCAGCCUAUUUUCCUGGACCAAGCAAGAGACUGAAUCGUCCACAAAAAGAAAAAUCAGGGCAGUUUCCUGUGAAAACAAAAGAACUAAACUUGAUGAAUAUUGUAGUAGAAAUCUAGAGGAAAGUUUUGAUUGUAAAGUUGGUUUUCCUGAAGAAGUCAUUCAUACUGCAGAAAGGAUUUAUGACUGUCCACCACCAACUGCCGAGCUAAUGUUGAGCUUCACAGAUGGAAUUACGCAAACACGAUCAAUGCCUAUGUUUUCCGCAGAGAAUUUUGAAAUGAAGACACGUGACACAGCCAUGCAUUUUUAUACCGGUUUAGAGUUGUAUACUAAAUUUUUAUUUGUUUUGACCACACUUGGUCCAGCAGCACAUUGUUUGAGAUACAUAUAUUUUCAAAUUGAUAGGGUGUCAGUUUUUUUAUGACUUUGAUGAAAUUGAGGCAUCAUACAACCAACUUUGAACUGUCUAGAUUCUAGAUUGAAUCUAGUGUUAAGAAUAUUGUGUAUACAUGGAUUGUUUUUAUGUCUAAACAGUGGUGUGAGGCUAACACUUGGCCAUCUAGUGGUUUAGUCAGGUAUUUUUCACCAUCCAACUUCAAAUUAAAGUUUCCUACGACUUGGAUUAUUAUUGACAGCACAGAAUAUCCCGUGAUAAAACCUAAAGCUCCUAGAGCUCAGGCAACCUUUUCAUCAAAUAAAAACAGAAACACUGAAAAUUCUUGAAUGUUCGACACCUGGUGGUUUAGUCAACUAUGUCUCUAUGUCACAUAGAGCGAAUUAUUGGACUUGGCAAAACAUACAAAAUUCUAAUAAAUCCUAUGAAUGGAACUGAAACAAAACUUUCAUCUGAAAUAACAUUUAGUUGUUUUAUGUUGUGUAAUUUUAGAACUUGUAUUGUGCCAAAGGAUGCAUAAAUAAAAGUGACGCAAUGAA